rnacentral:rRNA from 1 species
GCCCACUAUGGCGAAUGAAGCGGCAAGAGCCCAAAUUUGAAAUCGGGCAACCGAGUUGUAAUUAUGGAGACGACACUAGAGAGGAGGAAGGCGAUUAAGUGCCUUGGAACAGGCUGCCGUAGAGGGUGAGAGCCCCGUGAAUCGCUGGAGACCGAUCGAUUAGUGCCCGCCGAAGAGUCGAGUUGUUUGGGAAUGCAGCUCUAAGCGGGUGGUAUAUUCCAUCUAAGGCUAAAUAUUAGCGAGAGACCGAUAGCAAACAAGUACAGUGAUGGAAAGAUGAAAAGAACUUUGGAAAGAGAGUGAAAUAGUACGUGAAAUUGUUGAAAGGGAAGGGUAUUUGAUCCGACAUGGUGUUAUAGCAGCGGCCCGUUCCUCGUGGAUGGGUGCACCUGGUUUACACUGGGCCAGCAUCGGUUCAAUGGGAGCCAUAUACGGGGUUCGUGAAUGU